GAUGAGGGAGGAGGCCAGGGCCGAGCGGAGGGACGCGCUCCUCACCAACCUGCUCAAUAAACUCUUGCGCGACGACUUCUAGGGAGGGACACGUGGCUCGACGACGCGUGCCUGAUAAUCAACAAAAUUCGUUACUUGUAGCAUAGGAUAUGGCAGUGGAUCAAUAGAAAUUCUUUGUUUGCUUUGUCCUCACCUCAGCAUAGAUUAAUCCGUAGGAAUUUUAAGUCAUUUUAGUAGUAAGAUAUCAGUUGCAUACACAUGUAAUUGCUAGCUAAGAUGCUGCCAAAUGCUGUGCUCCGUGUCUUUGUGGAAGGGUAAAUGUUUUUUUCUGCCAGACAUAGCAGAACAAAUAUAUGUUUUUACAUAUUAUUAUUAUGUACUGCCAUUCAUAUCAAUCCAUCAAAAUUCUGCCAACAAACAAAAAAAUUGGGAAGUGAGAACAUGUGAUUAAAUGCACAGCGCGGGGGAUCUAUCAUGCAGAUGGCUAGUCUAGUGUACACAAAUCCACAAUUUACUGUAAGAUGUAAAGUGCGAGUGAUCGACAGAAUCCACAAAUUUUCUGCGUAGAACUGUCUAGUCUAGUGUACAGAUCUAUCAUGCAGAUGGCUAGUAGGUAGAUUAAUACGGGCAACAUGUUGUUAGUACUACUUACUAGGAAGGUGUACAACCAAAUAAAAGUAUACGUUACAAAAUACUGAUCAAUCUGUAGGCUUGUGAAGUUGUGUUCCUUCCGAUGUGCAGAUUGUAAUUGUGUUCCUUCGGAUUCCGAUGUUCAGAUUGUAAUUGUGUUCCUUCCGAGUUCCGAUGUUCAGAUUGUAAUGAAUUACUUCCUGAAUAUUGUCUUCAGUCUACGUUACAAACUAUAAGGGCAGAGCCCCAGUUCAUUUUUNNNNNNNNNNNNNNNNNNNNNNNNNNNNNNNNUGUCAGUUCACAGCAGUCAAAGGCCAUAAAGGGUGAGCAAGCUUGGCAGAAAAUAACCUUUACAAGCAAAAACCGCCACUUGGAGACUUUUCAAGCUCUACCACCAAACCACUAAAAUAUAGCAAAUCUGUUCGCAGCAAGAACUUGACGAUGAUGCAGUACAUCCAUUCACCGGACAUCUCCUACUCCCUGGUAC
rnacentral:lncRNA from 1 species